rnacentral:ncRNA from 2 species
CGCUGAACUGAAGCAUCUCAUUAAGCGGAGGAAAAGAAACUAACUAGGAUUCCCUUAGUAAAGGCGAUCGAAAAGGGAACAGCCCAACGUCUUAAUCCCGCAAGGGAAAUGUAGUCGGUUCACCUAUUGCACUGGUCUAAGUCAGAUGGAAUGCUGCGCGAUUCAGAGUAAAAGCCUCGUAUGACCAACCGCAAGCUUACGAUGGACCGGGGAGAGUCGGAUACUUUGAGAGUAUUGUCUUAAGGGGGUGGUAUGUCCCAUCCAAGGCUAAAUAACGUGAGGAGACCGAUAGAUUACAAGUAGUGUGAACGAAAGAUGAAAAGAACUCUAAAACAGAGGGUGAAAAGUUCCUGAACUUGCUUAGGGUUAAGGCUAUUUAUAGUACCCGUCUUGAAACACGGAUUAGGGAGUUUAUCUGUAGUGCGAGUCUUUGCACGUUAACUGUAAAGGCGUAGAGAAAGCAACUGGCGUUUGCAUGGCUACUGAGCAUUACUGAUAGGACCCGAAAGGUGGUGAACUUUGCCUGCACAGGUUGAAGUCAGGGGAAACUCUGAUGGAGGACCGUACGGGUUAUUGAUGUGCAAAUCAUUUUUCUGAUGUAGGUAAAGGUGCGAAAGACUCAUCGAACCACCUAAUAGCUGGUUUCCUCCGAAGUUUCCCUCAGGAUAGCUGUAAUGCAUUUAGUUAAGGGGAGUAGAGAUAUGGGUAGAGGUGCAGGGAGCCUUCGGGUUCUCAACUUAUUUCCAAACUUCGAACCUCCUUGUUAGGCAUUUACCUAACUGGAAAUGCUUAAAUGAAUUAGCGUUACAAGUGGGCUCUGACCGGUAAGCGGUCAUGGCGAAAUGGGAUGAACCAUACGUCUGAAUAAGGUGCCGAAAUGUACUAUCACUGAUACCAUAAAGGGAGUCCAUGUAUUUAGACAGCAGGUCGGUGCCCCUAAAAGCAGGUAUCCGCUAAAGAGUGUGUUAAAACUCACCUGCCGAAUACUAGGGCCCCGAAAAUGAAUGGCGCAUAUAGUACUACCGAUCUCAGACAUCAGUUCUAUUGAACUGAGAGUAGGGGGAUGUGGACAUUUUUGUGAAGGUGCAAUGUGAGUUGGACUGGAAGAAUGUCUAUUACAGAUCCUAAUUGAAGUAGCGAUUAUCCAGGGCUUGUAUC